rnacentral:tRNA from 1 species
UAGGGAGACCUACCCGUUUACGAAUCCGAAACGCAAUGGAAUAGGGACGUAAAUGAGGUCAUCUCAGGUCGGUGAGGGUAUUGCUCUUCAAGCUAUAUGUUUAGGUGUGAAUGGGCUAUUAGCUCAGGUGGUUAGAGCGCACCCCUGAUAAGGGUGAGGUCCCUGGUUCGAGUCCAGGAUGGCCCACUGGGGAGGGGGUAUAGCUCAGUUGGUAGAGCGCCUGCUUUGCAAGCAGGAUGUCAGCGGUUCGAGUCCGCUUACCUCCACCAAAUUGUUAGCGAUAAAUUCAGCACAUUGCGACUGAUUCAAGUGAGAGAAGUCUUGUUUGGAUAAGGAUGUAAUCUGCUGGACUUAGGUCUAGCGCAAGAACCUUGACAACUGCAUAGAGAAAGCAACGAGAAAAGGUAGUUCAAGUAUCUGUUUAACGGAUAUUUAAUUGAGCAUCCAAUUAGUAGAAAGACAAACGAGGUCAAG